rnacentral:rRNA from 1 species
GAGUUUGAUCAUGGCUCAGGAUGAACGCUAGCGGCAGGCCUAACACAUGCAAGUCGAGCGAGCGAGGUUGCUUCGGUAACUGAGCUAGCGGCGGACGGGUGAGUAAUGCUUAGGAAUCUGCCUAUUAGUGGGGGACAACAUUCCGAAAGGGAUGCUAAUACCGCAUACGUCCUACGGGAGAAAGCAGGGGCUCUUUAUGACCUUGCGCUAAUAGAUGAGCCUAAGUCGGAUUAGCUAGUUGGUGGGGUAAAAGCCUACCAAGGCGACGAUCUGUAGCGGGUCUGAGAGGAUGAUCCGCCACACUGGGACUGAGACACGGCCCAGACUCCUACGGGAGGCAGCAGUGGGGAAUAUUGGACAAUGGGGGGAACCCUGAUCCAGCCAUGCCGCGUGUGUGAAGAAGGCCUUUUGGUUGUAAAGCACUUUAAGUGGGGAGGAGGCUUACCUGGUUAAUACCUGGGCUAAGUGGACGUUACCCACAGAAUAAGCACCGGCUAACUCUGUGCCAGCAGCCGCGGUAAU